GAGAGCUGAAAGACUGGGGUGUGUGUGUGUGUGUGUGUGUGUGUGUGCGCGCACGUAGCUUCUCAUUUCGUCUGGAGGUCUCUCUCAGCAGAGUGGCUACAAACUUUAGCCCUGCCCUGAUGAGAUUCCUGGGCAUUUGGUCACGGAUGUUGACAGUGUGCCUUUUACUAACGACUUCAUUCUGGCAGACAGCCUACUGCCUAAAUGUCCAACCUGUGACCAGGCCUCCCUUCCACAAGAAGCUUGUUGAUACUGGCAGACACCCUGUGGCUCUUGCCUGACCUGUGUGCAGUUUAUUCCUACCAGGAUGGCCGAUCUCUAGGAGAGUCUUGACGGAGAAAGAAGCUGGGUUCAGAUGCAGCUGGAGAGCCUGGGGUGAGAACAUGAGCAGUCUAUAAUCAGAAAAUCCCUUUGGGAUAAAUUGACAAAAAUAUAAACCACUCCACAAAGGAGAAAUUGUAAAUGCAAAAGAAACAAUCAAUAAACAGAUAAUCUACAGAAUGGUAAAAAAUAUUUGUGAGCUAUGCAUUUGACCAAAGGCUAAUAUCCAGAAUCUACAAGGAAUUCAGACAACUCAACAAGGCAAAAACAACCCCAUUAAAAAGUGGGGGAAAGACAUGAAAAGACAUUUUUUCAAAAGAAGACAUACAAAUGGUCAAGAAAAAUAUAAGCAAAUUCUCAACAUCACUAAUCAUCAGAUAAAUGCAAAUUAAAACCACAAGAAUAUACCAUCUUACACCAGAGAAAAUGCCUAUUAUUAAAAAGUCUAAAAACAACAGAUGUUGGUGAGGAUGCAAGAAAAAGGGAACACAUAUACAUUGUUUUUGGAAAUGUAAAUUAGUUCAACCUUUCUGAACAACAGUACAGAGAUUUCUCAGAGAACUAAAAAAAGAACUACCAUUCAAUCUAGCAAUCUGACUACUGGGUAUCUACCCAAAGGGAAAUAAAUCAUUACAUCCAAAAGACACCUGCACUCCUGUGUUUAUCACAACACUAUUCACAAUAGCAAACAUAUGGAAUCAAACUAAGAGUCCAUUAACAGACGACUGCAUAAAGAAGAUGUGGCAUAUAUAUUCCUUGUAAUACUACGUGAACAUAAAAAGAAUAAAAUCGGCUGAUUGCAGUGGCUCACACCUGUAAUCCCAGCACUUUGGGAGGCUGAGGCGGGUGGAUCAUGAAGU
rnacentral:lncRNA from 1 species